ensembl:lncRNA
CUUCUACCCACCUCACCUUCCUUCCAUUGCCUUAUGAACUCCUAUUCCUGGUCCUUUGGCAAAUUGGAUCCUAGAUGCUAACUUGGCACUGAGCACAUAUUUCAGUUAUGUAGCUUGAUGUAGUGAUGAGAGCCCCUAGCCAAGAAUGAAGCAACCUAGGUCAAAUCUUGCUCUGCCUUUCAUCAGCUUUGUGUUCUUGGAAAAUCUUUUGGAUUCUUGAUUUUUUUUUGUUGUUUUUUUUUAAAAAAACAUACCGAUUGCUAUGGUCUGAAUGCUUGUGUUCCUUCCAAAAUUCAGAUGUUGAAAUCCUAACCCCCAAGGUGAUGGUUUUACAAGGUGCAGCAUUUGGGAAGAGGAUUAAGUCAUGAGACUGAGCCCUGAAGAUUUGGAUUAGUGCCCUUGUAAAAGAGAAUCCAGAGAACUUACUAACUCCUUCUACCAUGUGAUAAGCUACGCUUCAUCAGUUCUGGGGAUGAGAUGUUCCACCAGGAGGAAAGAUCAGGUGUCCUGACCAUGCUGGUGGGGGCACCACAUUGUCCUUGCCUUUGUAAUGCCAGGAGGAGGAAAGCCAGGGACCAGCUUCAGGUAGAGGAAGGAGCAGAAGCUGUGGGCUGACUCACAAAGAAGAAAAAAAAAAGAAAAAGAAAAGAAAAGAAAAAAGAAAAAUCAAGGCCUCACUCAGAUGCCAAUUAGAAAGUGCUCCUGAUUUUCUGCCUUGCUGGUAAGGAGAAGCCCUUACCACUCCAGCAGGACCUGGGUACCAAAACUCUAGCAUAGGAGCCUAAGCCUUCUUGCAAGAGGAGAAGUGACAACAAAUUUAAGUAGAGAAGAUGAAUAUCUGCAUGAGCCAAGUGACUGUGAAGAGGGCAAAGAAUUAAUAAUUGUGUAAUAAUGUUACUGAAUACUUACUGUGAGCUGCUUUCUAGAUGACUCCAUGAAUUUGUUUAAAUCUCCAACAAUCCUGCAAAGUAGGUACUGUUAGUAUCAUUCCUUUCUGAUAUAUGAGGAAAUUAAAGCACAGAGAAAAUGAGUAACUGCACCAAUGUCAACAGCUAGGAAGUGACAAGACAAGCUUCAAGUUCGUGCAGUUUGACUCAAAGGACCAUGUUCCUAACCGCUACAUUCUCCUGCCUCUUUCAAGAAAUGCUAGGUCUGCUUAGAGAAUUUGAUUAUUCACUGGAUGUGUAUGGGAAGAGGCAGAGUGAUCAAAUUCCAGGUUGCUGGCAUCAACAAUUGAGGGGACCAAAGAUCCACCAACCAAAGUAGAGCAUUUGGGAGGAAGAACUCUGCAAGGUGUGAGUCUGGGCACGUGGACUUUGCAGUACUGGGAGCGAUGACCCUCUUGGUUACGCAUGAAGAUUCAGAAGUCAGGAAAAGAAAUCUAGUUGUAAAUAUACAUUUCUGUAGUCAGAAUUGAGGUGAUACUUAAUGACAAUGGGACAGUCACUCCAAUCACCCAAGUAGCAUUUGUAGAUAGAGAAGAGAAAAGGGCUAAUCUACAGCAAUGGGAGGCCAGUGUUUAAUGAUCCUGGAAUAAAGGACAUUGAGUGCACAGUUAGAUACCAAAAGCAUCAGGGACACUUGACAUUGAGAAAAUCAAAUGAAUAUAAAUAUAGAAAAUAGAAAUAGAAAAAAUAGAAAUGG